UAAGGAAUAUUGGACAAUGGUCGCAAGACUGAUCCAGCCAUGCCGCGUGCAGGAAGACGGCCCUAUGGGUUGUAAACUGCUUCUGUACCAGAGAAAACCUAUCUACGUGUAGAUAGCUGAUAGUAUGGUAAGAAUAAGCAUCGGCUAACUUCGUGCCAGCAGCCGCGGUAAGACGAAGGAUGCAAGCGUUAUCCGGAUUCAUUGGGUUUCAAGGGUGCGUAGGCGGGCUUGUAAGUCAGUGGUGAAAUCUCUCAGCUUAACUGAGAAACUGCCAUUGAUACUGCAGGCCUAGAGUAUAGAUGACGUUGGCGGAAUAUGACAUGUAGUGGUGAAAUACUUAGAUAUGUCAUAGAACACCGAUUGCGAAGGCAGCUAACGAAACUAUAACUGCCGCUGAGGCACGAAAGUGCGGGGAUCAAACA
rnacentral:rRNA from 1 species